GUAGGUGGCAAGCGUUGUCCGGAAUUAUUGGGCGUAAAGCGCGCGCAGGCGGUUCUUUAAGUCUGAUGUGAAAGCCCACGGCUCGACCGUGGAGGGUCAUUGGAAACUGGAGAACUUGAGUACAGAAGAGGAAAGCGGGAUUCCACGUGUAGCGGUGAAAUGCGUAGAGAUGUGGAGGAACACCAGUGGCGAAGGCGGCCUUCUGGUCUGUAACUGACGCUGAGGCGCGAAAGCGUGGGGAGCAAACAGGGAUUAGAUACCCUGGUAGUCCACGCCGUAAACGAUGAGUGCUAAGUGUUAGGGGGGUUUCCGCCCCCUUAGUGCUGCAGCUAACGCAUUAAGCACUCCGCCUGGGGAUACGGCCGCAAGGCUG
rnacentral:rRNA from 1 species